GACAGUUGGAAGAUGGAGAUCAACCGGAGAGCAAGAAGCUGGCCUCCCAGGGAGACUGUAAGUCCAGGGGGUCUGGUGGCAGAUAUGUGGCUUCAGAGGGUUGAGGUUUUCAGGAGUCAGGAGCUGGAAGCACUGAGGAGGUGGCAGCUCUUUACAGAGGCCCCUGGUGCUUCAUUCUGGGGCCCAUACGUUUGAGGGAUCCCAGGAACCCUGAAAUUGAGGGAGAUGAGCUCUGUGCUUUUAUGGGGAGGAAUCCACAGCAUCCAUGAGGCACUGGAGCAGGCUGGGGACCGUGGUGCCGGGCUCAGCUCCCACUGACCGGGGGCAGGCAGUGCCAAGUGCCCGAGGAGGAGCUAAGCCAGUCUUUGCUUUGGGUUUUCUCUCUACAGCAAUCAGUUCUCAACUUGGACCCAUCCAUCCUCCCCCAAGGUAAGCCAUGGUGGGGCCCACACUGCUUUCUUGUCUGUUGGCCAGCAGACUGGCCUUUCUGCUGACUUGGGAGGGCUCUGACUGGGGGCACAUCUCUCAGGUUUUAUCCCCCAGUGCCAGUUGACCAGAGUGCUCAGACGGGAAUGAGGCAGAGGAGCUGUGUCCGUUCCUCAUACCCCUUGUCUGAAGGGCUGUGGGAGGGAAGGGUCGUGGCAGUCACUGUAGUGAUAGGGUGGUCUCCGCACCCUAUGGCUUCCUCGGCUGGGGUGGGGACUCU
rnacentral:sRNA from 1 species